rnacentral:rRNA from 1 species
GUGACCUCAAAUCAGGUAGGACUACCCGCUGAACUUAAGCAUAUCAAUAAGCGGAGGAAAAGAAACUAACAAGGAUUCCCCUAGUAACUGCGAGUGAAGCGGGAAAAGCUCAAAUUUAAAAUCUGACAGUCUUUGGCUGUCCGAGUUGUAAUCUAGAGAAGUGUUAUCCGCNCUGGACCGUGUACAAGUCUCCUGGAAUGGAGCGUCAUAGAGGGUGAGAAUCCCGUCUUUGACACGGACUACCAGGGCUUUGUGAUGCGCUCUCAAAGAGUCGAGUUGUUUGGGAAUGCAGCUCAAAAUGGGUGGUAAAUUCCAUCUAAAGCUAAAUAUUGGCGAGAGACCGAUAGCGAACAAGUACCGUGAGGGAAAGAUGAAAAGAACUUUGGAAAGAGAGUUAAACAGUACGUGAAAUUGCUGAAAGGGAAACGCUUGAAGUCAGUCGCGUUGUCCAGGGAUCAACCUUGCUUUUGCUUGGUGCACUUUCUGGUUGACGGGUCAGCAUCAAUUUUGACCAUUGGAAAAAGAUUAAGGGAAUGUGGCAUCUUUGGAUGUGUUAUAGCCCUUGGUUGCAUACGAUGGUUGGGAUUGAGGAACUCAGCACGCCGCAAGGCCGGGUUU